GCGGAAAUGCCUUUAGCCCCGCCCCUUUCUCUCUAGGGAGGGUCUCCUUGGCAAGUGGGAGGGGUGCUUCCGAUGGCGCAGGGAGGGCGAGGAGAGAGAGAAACCACUCCAGACAGACGGAGAGAGAAGCUGCGCCUUCGGACGUUAGAGGAAGGCAGAGACCCUUCAGAAGAAGCUCUGCUCCGGAGGGAGAUGGAGGAGCAUCAGCAGCUGCAGAAAGCCUGGGGUCUCCUUUGAGGAGGUG